UACGUAGGGGGCAAGCGUUGUCCGGAUUCACUGGGGGUAAAGGGUGCUCAGGCGGACUUGUAAGUCAGAGGUGAAACUCCGAAGCUUAACUUCGGAACUGCCUUUGAUACUGCAAGUCUCGAGUACGGGAGAGGGUAAUGGAAUAACAGGUGUAGCAGUGAAAUGCGUAGAUAUCUGUUAGAACACCAAUGGCGAAGGCAGUUGCCUGGCCCGUUACUGACGCUAAAGCACGAAAGUGUGGGUAGCAAACAGG
rnacentral:rRNA from 1 species